GACGAACGCUGGCGGCGUGCUUAACACAUGCAAGUCGAACGGAAAGGCCCUGCUUUUGUGGGGUGCUCGAGUGGCGAACGGGUGAGUAACACGUGAGUAACCUGCCCUUGACUUUGGGAUAACUUCAGGAAACUGGGGCUAAUACCGGAUAGGAGCUCCUGCUGCAUGGUGGGGGUUGGAAAGUUUCGGCGGUUGGGGAUGGACUCGCGGCUUAUCAGCUUGUUGGUGGGGUAGUGGCUUACCAAGGCUUUGACGGGUAGCCGGCCUGAGAGGGUGACCGGCGACAUUGGGACUGAGAGACGGCCCAGACGCCUACGGGAGGCAGCAGUGGGGAAUAUUGCACAAUGGGCGGAAGCCUGAUGCAGCAACGCCGCGUGCGGGAUGACGGCCUUCGGGUUGUAAACCGCUUUCGCAUGUGACGAAGCGUGAGUGACGGUAAUGGGUAAAGAAGCACCGGCUAACUACGUG
rnacentral:rRNA from 1 species